rnacentral:tRNA from 1 species
UUGCAUUAGAAUUAGAAUCUAAUUAUACUAAAAUCACACCCUUUUCUACACUUUUAACAAUU